rnacentral:rRNA from 1 species
UGGGGGAGUAGCUUCAAGAAGAUAUACGCAUAAGAUUGUAGUAUCGCAUGAUAUAGCAAUUAAAAGGAAGCAAUUCGCUAUAAGAUGGACCCGCGUCGCAUUAGCUAGUUGGUGAGGUAAUGGCUCACCAAGGCGACGAUGCGUAGCCGACCUGAGAGGGUGAUCGGCCACAUUGGGACUGAGACACGGCCCAGACUCCUACGGGAAGGCAGCAUG